rnacentral:rRNA from 1 species
GCUUAACACAUGCAAGUCGAGGGGCAUCAGGAAGAAAGCUUGCUUUCUUUGCUGGCGACCGGCGCACGGGUGAGUAACACGUAUCCAACCUGCCCUUUACUCGGGGAUAGCCUUUCGAAAGAAAGAUUAAUACCCGAUAGCAUAAUGAUUCCGCAUGGUUUCAUUAUUAAAGGAUUCCGGUAAAGGAUGGGGAUGCGUUCCAUUAGGUUGUUGGUGAGGUAACGGCCCACCAAGCCUUCGAUGGAUAGGGGUUCUGAGAGGAAGGUCCCCCACAUUGGAACUGAGACACGGUCCAAACUCCUACGGGAGGCAGCAGUGAGGAAUAUUGGUCAAUGGGCGCUAGCCUGAACCAGCCAAGUAGCGUGAAGGAUGAAGGCUCUAUGGGUCGUAAACUUCUUUUAUAUAAGAAUAAAGUGCAGUAUGUAUACUGUUUUGUAUGUAUUAUAUGAAUAAGGAUCGGCUAACUCCGUGCCAGCAGCCGCGGUAAUACGGAGGAUCCGAGCGUUAUCCGGAUUUAUUGGGUUUAAAGGGAGCGUAGGUGGACUGGUAAGUCAGUUGUGAAAGUUUGCGGCUCAACCGUAAAAUUGCAGUUGAUACUGUCAGUCUUGAGUACAGUAGAGGUGGGCGGAAUUCGUGGUGUAGCGGUGAAAUGCUUAGAUAUCACGAAGAACUCCGAUUGCGAAGGCAGCUCACUGGACUGCAACUGACACUGAUGCUCGAAAGUGUGGGUAUCAAACAGGAUUAGAUACCCUGGUAGUCCACACAGUAAACGAUGAAUACUCGCUGUUUGCGAUAUACAGUAAGCGGCCAAGCGAAAGCAUUAAGUAUUCCACCUGGGGAGUACGCCGGCAACGGUGAAACUCAAAGGAAUUGACGGGGGCCCGCACAAGCGGAGGAACAUGUGGUUUAAUUCGAUGAUACGCGAGGAACCUUACCCGGGCUUAAAUUGCAGUGGAAUGAUGUGGAAACAUGUCAGUGAGCAAUCACCGCUGUGAAGGUGCUGCAUGGUUGUCGUCAGCUCGUGCCGUGAGGUGUCGGCUUAAGUGCCAUAACGAGCGCAACCCUUAUCUUUAGUUACUAACAGGUUAUGCUGAGGACUCUAGAGAGACUGCCGUCGUAAGAUGUGAGGAAGGUGGGGAUGACGUCAAAUCAGCACGGCCCUUACGUCCGGGGCUACACACGUGUUACAAUGGGGGGUACAGAAGGCAGCUAGCGGGUGACCGUAUGCUAAUCCCAAAAUCCUCUCUCAGUUCGGAUCGAAGUCUGCAACCCGACUUCGUGAAGCUGGAUUCGCUAGUAAUCGCGCAUCAGCCACGGCGCGGUGAAUACGUUCCCGGGCCUUGUACACACCGCCCGUCAAGCCAUGGGAGCCGGGGGUACCUGAAGUACGUAACCGCAAGGAUCGUCCUAGGGUAAAACUGGUGACUGGGGCUAAGUCA